UACGAAGGGGGCUAGCGUUGUUCGGAUUUAUUGGGCGUAAAGGGUGCGUAGGCGGCGGAGUAAGUUGGGUGUGAAAUCCCGGGGCUUAACCUCGGAAUUGCAUUCAAUACUGCUUCGCUUGAGUACUGGAGAGGAGGCUGGAAUUUACGGUGUAGCAGUGAAAUGCGUAGAUAUCGUAAGGAAGGCCGGUGGCGAAAGCGAGCCUCUGGACAGUUACUGACGCUGAUGCACGAAGGCCAGGGGAGCAAACGGG
rnacentral:rRNA from 1 species